AAGGAGUCUAACAUAUCUGCGAGUAUUUGGGUGUCAAACCCGAGUGCGCAAUGAAAGCGAACGUAGGAGCCACGCGCAAGCUGCAGCUUCGACCGAUCUGGAUCUUUAGUGAUGGAUUUGAGUAAGAGCAUAUAUGUUGGGACCCGAAAGAUGGUGAACCAUGCCUGAAUAGGGCGAAGCCAGAGGAAACUCUGGUGGAGGCUCGUAGCGAUUCUGACGUGCAAAUCGAUUGUCGAAUUUGGGUAUAGGGGGGAAGGACUAAUCGAACCAUCUAGUAGCUGGUUCCUGC
rnacentral:misc_RNA from 1 species